GGCUAUGCCUCAAUUGAUAAAGUGAACUAAUUGCCUACUUCAAAAGCAGUUUUGCAUGAAAGUUUCAACAUCUAAUUGGAAUUUCUCUGGAAAGUUUACAAUGCCCGAUAUUUCUACACAUCUGCCACAAAUUUAUGGAAAUCAAUAUUUAUAGAAACUGAACAUACCUUGGUUAAACGUAUAUGAAAUGGGUAACCAUCCUCGAAGAACAUCAACCAGCUGUCGGCAAUGUGCAGGUGGACUGAGGAAUUUUCCGGUGUGUCCUUUAUGGACUGUACUCCGUCUUAGCACUAUCCUCAAGUUUUACCCGAGAGGCCAUGCUUCAGGUUGGACUGUCUUCCAUAUAUCUACUGACUUCAUAUAAAUGAAAGUGUACUAAGGACUCGCUGAUCUGCACUACCAGCUCAUGUUCAACGUUACUGAACAACAAAGUAAUCCGACAAUCAGACUGGACCCGGUCACGUUAGAUACCAGAGGAAGACGAAAAUAUAAUUGAUUCUGUACUGAUGCAUGACUUCGCUCGGAACGCGGCAAGAAUUAACAAUGGAAGAAAAACUACAGACGUGUUU